rnacentral:rRNA from 1 species
CAGUCGCCACGGUAAUACGUAGGUGGCAAGCGUUAUCCGGAAUUAUUGGGCGUAAAGCGCGCGUAGGUGGUUUUUUAAGGCUGAUGUGAAAGCCCACGGCUCAACCGUGGAGGGUCAUUGGAAACUGGAAAACUUGAGUGCAGAAGAGGAAAGUGGAAUUCCAUGUGUAGCGGUGAAAUGCGCAGAGAUAUGGAGGAACACCAGUGGCGAAGGCGACUUUCUGGUCUGUAACUGACGCUGAUGUGCGAAAGCGUGGGGAUCAUACAGGAUUAGAGACCCCGGUAGUCCCUGUCUCUUAUAC